rnacentral:rRNA from 1 species
AUUGAACGCUGGCGGCAUGCCUUACACAUGCAAGUCGAACGGUAACGGGCCUUCGGGUGCCGACGAGUGGCGAACGGGUGAGUAAUGUAUCGGAACGUACCUUUCAGUGGGGGAUAACGUAGCGAAAGUUACGCUAAUACCGCAUAUUCUGUGCGCAGGAAAGCAGGGGAUCGCAAGACCUUGCGCUGAUUGAGCGGCCGAUAUCAGAUUAGCUAGUUGGUGAGGUAAAGGCUCACCAAGGCGACGAUCUGUAGCGGGUCUGAGAGGAUGAUCCGCCACACUGGAACUGAGACACGGUCCAGACUCCUACGGGAGGCAGCAGUGGGGAAUUUUGGACAAUGGGGGCGAACCCUGAUCCAGCCAUGCCGCGUGAGUGAAGAAGGCCUCGGUUGUAAG